AAAUUCCUAUUUCUCUUCUUUCCUUCUUCCCCGUUGAUAGAGUACGACGUCUUCAUCUUCCUCACCUGCAGGGACGACGACAACCUCCGCAAGCUUAACGAUUGGAGUUACCUGAGCUCCGGUGUCCAUAUUUGUUAGCUCCGGCUGAACCUUUUCAUUUACUUCUCAGAUUAGAUUCCGAGUAAUGACAACAACUUCCAGCGUCCCGAUGAAUCUCUGUUUUAAGCCUGCAACUCUGACAAUUUUGCCUUUGUUGUCAACCUCCAUAGCAAGUGACUCCACCUUGAGCUUAUGAGCUUGAGAGAGUUCGCGACUCUCCCUCAUGCUUGUUUUUCCCGAUGGUGAAAUACACAACCUGAUUGCUGAUCAUUCGCAACCUCUGGAGAUACGGACACCACAGUCGCCAUUGCCGUCACAACAAUUCUUGGCAAGAUAACCAACCUCGUCGCAAUUCCGAUCAAUACGUUUCACUUUCCGUGAAUAUAACCUGAUGCAACUUCAACUUGAGUCUUUGCAUCCUCCGGCAUCAAGCUUCGACGCCAUUAGCCACUGUUAUCUCAAUUUCUCCGAUGAACACCUUCAUCUUUCCACUAUUCUGAUGAUUUUAGCUUCUUGCCUCGUCGUCCUUGUCCAAUCUCUUCGGACAGAAGCUCCACCUUGUCUCUCGUGAGACCCUUAUAACUGUGACUUGAUUCUCUUCAUCACAGCGCAACCAGCCGUUUUCUAAUGAGAGAUCAGCCUUCUCUCAUAUUUAUGAAGCUUUCCGGUAACUUCACAAACCUUGAAACAUUUUUCUUAGUUUCUUUUGAAUUUUUUUUUUUCGGCUACUCCACCUUAAGCAGUUUCUUUUGCUUUUCCUGUAGCUAUUCCACCUGAAGCCAAUAUCUCUUCACCAUAGCUUCAUAAUUGUCGCAGAUGGUUCAAAGAAUUAGGCUACAAAUUUGGGCCUAAUAUCCACAAUUCCAAACCACCCAUGGCUAAACGGAGUUGACAAACCAGUUGGUGGUAAUGGAGUAAAUUUGCCUCCAUAUUUCAGAAACUCUGGGAAAGAUACCAGGGAGUUUGAUGGUCUCGAUAAUACUGGAAUGUGACUCCACACUUCUCUGCAUAGGGACAUUUAAUGAAGACAUGGAUGUCGUCCUGAGGAGCUCCACACUUUUCUACAACUGAAUAGUAAGGGAAAUGGUGUAUCGUCCGCAUAAAUCUAGUUUAAAGAUAAGUUAUUGACGGCCUUCAAUUAAAUUUCUAUAGAAAGAUUGUAAUGGCAAUGAAUAUCAUGCGUAUUCAAAACCAUGUUUAGUGUUCCGAUAUUCAAUAUGUUUCGGCUGA